rnacentral:tRNA from 1 species
CGGGACGUAGCUCAGCCUGGUUAGAGCGCUGCGUUUGGGACGCAGAGGCCGACAGUUCGAAUCUGUCCGUCCCGA